rnacentral:rRNA from 1 species
UACGUAGGGGGCUAGCGUUGUCCGGAAUCAUUGGGCGUAAAGAGCGCGUAGGCGGCCAGAUAAGUCCGGUGUGAAAGUCACAGGCUCAACCUGUGAAUGCCGCUGGAAACUGUCUGGCUAGAGUCCGGGAGGGGCGAGUGGAAUUCCUGGUGUAGCGGUGAAAUGCGCAGAUAUCAGGAGGAACACCAAUGGCGAAGGCAGGUCUCUGGGCAUUAACUGACGCUGAGGAGCGAAAGCAUGGGGAGCGAACAGG